AUUGAACGCUGGCGGCAUGCUUUACACAUGCAAGUCGAACGGUAACAGGGUGCUUGCACCGCUGACGAGUGGCGAACGGGUGAGUAAUGCGUCGGAACGUGCCGAGUAGUGGGGGAUAACGCAUCGAAAGGUGUGCUAAUACCGCAUACGUACUGAGGUAGAAAGUGGGGGACCUUCGGGCCUCACGCUAUUCGAGCGGCCGACGUCUGAUUAGCUAGUUGGUGAGGUAAAGGCUCACCAAGGCGACGAUCAGUAGCGGGUCUGAGAGGAUGAGACGCCACACUGGGACGGAGACACGGCCCAGACUCCUACGGGAGGCAGCAGUGGGGAAUUUUGGACAAUGGGCGCAAGCCUGAUCCAGCCAUGCCGCGUGUCUGAAGAAGGCCUUCGGGUUGUAAAGGACUUUUGUCCGGGAGCAAAUACCCAGUGCUAAUAACGCUGGGGGCUGAGAGUACCGGAAGAAUAAGCACCGGCUAACUACGUGCCAGCAGCCGCCGUAACAC
rnacentral:rRNA from 1 species